UACGUAGGUGGCAAGCGUUGUCCGGAAUUAUUGGGCGUAAAGCGCGCGCAGGCGGUCCUUUAAGUCUGAUGUGAAAGCCCACGGCUCAACCGUGGAGGGUCAUUGGAAACUGGGGGACUUGAGUGCAGGAGAGAAGAGUGGAAUUCCACGUGUAGCGGUGAAAUGCGUAGAGAUGUGGAGGAACACCAGUGGCGAAGGCGGCAUCCUGGACCGACACUGACACUGAGGAGCGAAAGCCAGGGGAGCAAACGGG
rnacentral:rRNA from 1 species